GUUAAGCGACUAAGCGUACACGGUGGAUGCCCUGGCAGUCAGAGGCGAUGAAGGACGUGCUAAUCUGCGAAAAGCGUCGGUAAGGUGAUAUGAACCGUUAUAACCGGCGAUGUCCGAAUGGGGAAACCCAGUGCAAUUCGUUGCACUAUCGUUAACUGAAUACAUAGGUUAACGAGGCGAACCGGGGGAACUGAAACAUCUAAGUACCCCGAGGAAAAGAAAUCAACCGAGAUUCCCCCAGUAGCGGCGAGCGAACGGGGAGCAGCCCAGAGUCUGAAUCAGCUUGUGUGUUAGUGGAACGGUCUGGAAAGUCCGACGGUACAGGGUGAUAGUCCCGUACACCAAAAUGCACAGGCUGUGAACUCGAAGAGUAGGGCGGGACACGUGGUAUCCUGUCUGAAUAUGGGGGGACCAUCCUCCAAGGCUAAAUACUCCUGACUGACCGAUAGUGAACCAGUACCGUGAGGGAAAGGCGAAAAGAACCCCGGCGAGGGGAGUGAAAAAGAACCUGAAACCGUGUACGUACAAGCAGUGGGAGCACCUUCGGGUGUGACUGCGUACCUUUUGUAUAAUGGGUCAGCGACUUAUAUUCUGUAGCAAGGUUAACCGUAUAGGGGAGCCGCAGGGAAACCGAGUCUUAACUGGGCGUUAAGUUGCAGGGUAUAGACCCGAAACCCGGUGAUCUAGCCAUGGGCAGGUUGAAGGUUGGGUAACACUAACUGGAGGACCGAACCGACUAAUGUUGAAAAAUUAGCGGAUGACUUGUGGCUGGGGGUGAAAGGCCAAUCAAACCGGGAGAUAGCUGGUUCUCCCCGAAAGCUAUUUAGGUAGCGCCUCGUGAACUCAUCUUCGGGGGUAGAGCACUGUUUCGGCUAGGGGGUCAUCCCGACUUACCAACCCGAUGCAAACUACGAAUACCGAAGAAUGUUAUCACGGGAGACACACGGCGGGUGCUAACGUCCGUCGUGAAGAGGGAAACAACCCAGACCGCCAGCUAAGGUCCCAAAGUCAUGGUUAAGUGGGAAACGAUGUGGGAAGGCACAGACAGCCAGGAUGUUGGCUUAGAAGCAGCCAUCAUUUAAAGAAAGCGUAAUAGCUCACUGGUCGAGUCGGCCUGCGCGGAAGAUGUAACGGGGCUAAACCAUGCACCGAAGCUGCGGCAGCGACACUAUGUGUUGUUGGGUAGGGGAGCGUUCUGUAAGCCUGCGAAGGUGUGCUGUGAGGCAUGCUGGAGGUAUCAGAAGUGCGAAUGCUGACAUAAGUAACGAUAAAGCGGGUGAAAAGCCCGCUCGCCGGAAGACCAAGGGUUCCUGUCCAACGUUAAUCGGGGCAGGGUGAGUCGACCCCUAAGGCGAGGCCGAAAGGCGUAGUCGAUGGGAAACAGGUUAAUAUUCCUGUACUUGGUGUUACUGCGAAGGGGGGACGGAGAAGGCUAUGUUAGCCGGGCGACGGUUGUCCCGGUUUAAGCAUGUAGGCUGAUUGUCCAGGCAAAUCCGGAUAAUCAAGGCUGAGGUGUGAUGACGAGGCACUACGGUGCUGAAGUAACAAAUGCCCUGCUUCCAGGAAAAGCCUCUAAGCAUCAGGUAACAUCAAAUCGUACCCCAAACCGACACAGGUGGUCAGGUAGAGAAUACCAAGGCGCUUGAGAGAACUCGGGUGAAGGAACUAGGCAAAAUGGUGCCGUAACUUCGGGAGAAGGCACGCUGGUGUGUAGGUGAAGUCCCUGCGGAUGGAGCUGAGACCAGUCGAAGAUACCAGCUGGCUGCAACUGUUUAUUAAAAACACAGCACUGUGCAAACACGAAAGUGGACGUAUACGGUGUGACGCCUGCCCGGUGCCGGAAGGUUAAUUGAUGGGGUUAUCCGUAAGGAGAAGCUCUUGAUCGAAGCCCCGGUAAACGGCGGCCGUAACUAUAACGGUCCUAAGGUAGCGAAAUUCCUUGUCGGGUAAGUUCCGACCUGCACGAAUGGCGUAAUGAUGGCCAGGCUGUCUCCACCCGAGACUCAGUGAAAUUGAACUCGCUGUGAAGAUGCAGUGUACCCGCGGCAAGACGGAAAGACCCCGUGAACCUUUACUAUAGCUUGACACUGAACAUUGAGCCUUGAUGUGUAGGAUAGGUGGGAGGCUUUGAAGCGUGGACGCCAGUCUGCGUGGAGCCAACCUUGAAAUACCACCCUUUAAUGUUUGAUGUUCUAACGUUGGCCCCUGACCGGGGUUGCGGACAGUGUCUGGUGGGUAGUUUGACUGGGGCGGUCUCCUCCCAAAGCGUAACGGAGGAGCACGAAGGUUAGCUAAUCCUGGUCGGACAUCAGGAGGUUAGUGCAAUGGCAUAAGCUAGCUUGACUGCGAGCGUGACGGCGCGAGCAGGUGCGAAAGCAGGUCAUAGUGAUCCGGUGGUUCUGAAUGGAAGGGCCAUCGCUCAACGGAUAAAAGGUACUCCGGGGAUAACAGGCUGAUACCGCCCAAGAGUUCAUAUCGACGGCGGUGUUUGGCACCUCGAUGUCGGCUCAUCACAUCCUGGGGCUGAAGUAGGUCCCAAGGGUAUGGCUGUUCGCCAUUUAAAGUGGUACGCGAGCUGGGUUUAGAACGUCGUGAGACAGUUCGGUCCCUAUCUGCCGUGGGCGCUGGAGAAUUGAGGGGGGCUGCUCCUAGUACGAGAGGACCGGAGUGGACGCAUCACUGGUGUUCGGGUUGUCAUGCCAAUGGCACUGCCCGGUAGCUAAAUGCGGAAGAGAUAAGUGCUGAAAGCAUCUAAGCACGAAACUUGCCCCGAGAUGAGUUCUCCCUGAGACUUUAAGUCUCCUGAAGGAACGUUAAAGACGAUGACGUUGAUAGGCCGGGUGUGUAAGCGCAGCGAUGCGUUGAGCUAACCGGUACUAAUGAACCGUGAGGCUUAACC
rnacentral:rRNA from 1 species